rnacentral:lncRNA from 1 species
CCAAAUGUACAAUAUUUCUCUACAAAAAUGAAAACUUUCCUAAAAUAGAAUUUUUAAGAAUUUUAUUUUUAAAAUACAACCUAUUGAUCAAAAAAUCUAAAAGAAUACUCUUCUAUCAACAAAAGUUUUUCUUAUCCUAAUUUAUAAAUCACAACCCCAAAUCUACAAUAUUUAUCUACAAAAAUGAAAACUUUUCUAAAAUAGAAUUUUUGAAAAUUUUAUUUUUAAAAUACAACCUAUUGAUCAAAAAAUCUAAAAGAAUACUCUUCUAUCAACAAAAGUUUUUCUUAUCCUAAUUUAUAAAUCACAACCCCAAAUCUACAAUACUUAUCUAUAAUAAUGAAAAACUUUCCUAAAAUAGAAAUUUUUGAAAAUUAUAUUUAAAAAAUACAAUAUAUUGAUAAAAAAAUCAAACAAAAUACUCUUCUAUCAACAAAAAUUCUUGUUGUCCUAAUCUCUAAACCACAAUGCCAAAUGUACAAUAUGUCUCUACAAAAAUGAAAAUUUUCCUAAAAUAGAAUUUUUGAGA